AAUAAGAUGUUGUUUAGCAUAAGAUGUUUUGGUCAUCUAGGAAAUUAGUUAUUUCUUAUUA
rnacentral:tRNA from 1 species